ACACAUUCCAAAGCAGAAAAUUCCUUGUGGAACAAGAGAUAAAAUCCACAGCAGCAGCAUGACAGAAGAGGUAUUAAAUCAGUCAGUGAAGCCAUGAAGAGAGAAACUCUGUCUUUCAGCAGUAACAACAGAAAUUCAAAGGUCAUGGAAUCAUUUAUGUUGGAAAAGAUCAACAAGUCCAGCCCUUACACUCACAAUUAUUCUGGUGGCCUCUUUUUGAGAAAAUAACUAUGGCCAGAUUGCUCUUACAGAUAGCCACUAAGUGGUAAUUCUGAAAAUCCAAGACACUGAAAACCUGUGACCUUCUGGGGA